rnacentral:rRNA from 1 species
GUAGCGGAGCAUGUGGUUUAAUUCGAAGCAACGCGAAGAACCUUACCUAAGCUUGACAUCCCAAUGACAUCUCCUUAAUCGGAGAGUUCCCUUCGGGGACAUUGGUGACAGGUGGUGCAUGGUUGUCGUCAGCUCGUGUCGUGAGAUGUUGGGUUAAGUCCCGCAACGAGCGCAACCCUUGUCUUUAGUUGCCAUCAUUAAGUUGGGCACUCUAGAGAGACUGCCAGGGAUAACCUGGAGGAAGGUGGGGAUGACGUCAAAUCAUCAUGCCCCUUAUGCUUAGGGCUACACACGUGCUACAAUGGGUAGUACAGAGGGUUGCCAAGCCGUAAGGUGGAGCUAAUCCCUUAAAGCUACUCUCAGUUCGGAUUGUAGGCUGAAACUCGCCUACAUGAAGCUGGAGUUACUAGUAAUCGCAGAUCAGAAUGCUGCGGUGAAUGCGUUCCCGGGUCUUGUACACACCGCCCGUCACACCACGGGAGUUGGAGACGCCCGAAGCCGAUUAUCUAACCU